UUUUUUUUUUUUAAUUUAAUGUGUAGUUUUCUUUCAUAUUCAAUUGUAUCAGGUAGAAAACUAUGAAAAUUUUGUAAGUCUAAACAUUUUCAUAUUUAUAUUGGAACAAAAUUAAUAUUUUCCAAUGUAUAUGAAAUAUUUGAAAUUAAUUGCUAGCUAAAUUUUCAAUAUUCCACUGAAACAAUAGAAAUUAUUUAUUUUCUCAAAAAAGUAAUCAAAAAACAAGUUAUUUUAUCCAGCUAGUGUUUGAUAUAUUUCAAAUGCUUGCUUUCAACGUGUUUGAAGCUACUUCAGUUUAUAUAUCUCCUAAUUUUUGCUGCUUCCUUUGCCUCCCAGGUUCUGGUUGUUGCCAACCCAG
rnacentral:misc_RNA from 1 species